rnacentral:rRNA from 1 species
GGGGAGUACGGUCGCAAGACCGAAACUCAAAGGAAUUGACAGGGGCCUGCACAAGCGGCGGAGCAUGUGGUUUAAUUCAAUACAACACACAAAACCUUACCAGCCCUUGACAUAUCAACAACAAAACUUGUCCUUAACAGCAUGGUACUGACUUUCAUACAGGUGCUGCAUGGCUGUCGUCAGCUCGUGUCGUGAGUUGUUUGGUCAAGUCCUAUAAUGAGCGAAACCCUUGUUUUGUGUUGCUGAGACAUGCGCCUAAGGAGAAAUUUCCACGACGUGCCAGCGCUACUACUUGAUUGAGUGCCAGCACGUAGCUGUGCUUUCAGCAAUAAUUUCACCAUUGGGAGCCGGUGCCUUUCAAAGCACUUUCAUGUGUGAACCGAAGUCGUCUUGCCCAAGACCCACGGAGACCUACCUAUAGUGAUGUCAAAGUACCAGUGAGCAUAGAGGUUUGGUUGAAAUUGGUUACGACGAUGUCGAGUUGGCGGCAGAGGAAGACUCGGCAUGAAAGCCAGAAAAUGGUGUGGAACGUAGUGGUAAUAGUAUGCGCCCCGCUCCGAAACAAAGAAAAAGGUGCGUGCCGCAGUCACGAGGGACUGCCAGUGAGAUACUGGAGGAAGGUGGGGAUGACAUCAAGUCCGCAUGGACCUUAUGGGCUGGGCCACACACGUGCUACAAUGGCAAUGACAAUGGGAAGCAAGGCUGUAUGGCGGAGCGAAUCCGGAAAGAUUGCCUCAGUUCGGAUUGUUCUCUGCAACUCGGGAACAUGAAAUUGAAAUCGCUAGUAAUCGCGGAUCAGCAUGCCACGGUGAAUAUGUACCCGGGCCCUGUACACACCACCCGUCACACCCUGGGAACUGGUUUCGCCUGAAGCAUUGGACCAAUGAUCACCCAUGACUUUUGUGUACCACUAGUGCCAUAAAGGCCUUUGAUGGUCUUAUUGGCGCAUACCACGAUGGGGUCUUCGACUGGGGUGAAGUCAUACCAAGGUAGCCGUAGGGGAACCUCUGGCUG